rnacentral:rRNA from 1 species
CUGUAGCAAGGUUAACCGAAUAGGGGAGCCGAAGGGAAACCGAGUCUUAACUGGGCGUUAAGUUGCAGGGUAUAGACCCGAAACCCGGUGAUCUAGCCAUGGGCAGGUUGAAGGUUGGGUAACACUAACUGGAGGACCGAACCGACUAAUGUUGAAAAAUUAGCGGAUGACUUGUGGCUGGGGGUGAAAGGCCAAUCAAACCGGGAGAUAGCUGGUUCUCCCCGAAAGCUAUUUAGGUAGCGCCUCGUGAAUUCAUCUCCGGGGGUAGAGCACUGUUUCGGCAAGGGGGUCAUCCCGACUUACCAACCCGAUGCAAACUGCGAAUACCGGAGAAUGUUAUCACGGGAGACACACGGCGGGUGCUAACGUCCGUCGUGAAGAGGGAAACAACCCAGACCGCCAGCUAAGGUCCCAAAGUCAUGGUUAAGUGGGAAACGAUGUGGGAAGGCCCAGACAGCCAGGAUGUUGGCUUAGAAGCAGCCAUCAUUUAAAGAAAGCGUAAUAGCUCACUGGUCGAGUCGGCCUGCGCGGAAGAUGUAACGGGGCUAAACCAUGCACCGAAGCUGCGGCAGCGAC